UGGGGAAUAUUGGACAAUGGGGGCAACCCUGAUCCAGCCAUGCCGCGUGUGUGAAGAAGGCCUUUUGGUUGUAAAGCACUUUAAGCAGUGAAGAAGACUCCAUGGUUAAUACCCAUGGACGAUGACAUUAGCUGCAGAAUAAGCACCGGCUAACUCUGUGCCAGCAGCCGCGGUAAUACAGAGGGUGCAAGCGUUAAUCGGAAUUACUGGGCGUAAAGCGAGCGUAGGUGGCUUGAUAAGUCAGAUGUGAAAGCCCCGGGCUUAACCUGGGAACGGCAUCUGAUACUGUUAGGCUAGAGUAGGUGAGAGGAAGGUAGAAUUCCAGGUGUAGCGGUGAAAUGCGUAGGGAUCUGGAGGAAUACCGAUGGCGAAGGCAGCCUUCUGGCAUCAUACUGACACUGAGGUUCGAAAGCGUGGGUAGCAAACA
rnacentral:rRNA from 1 species